GGGCCCGCACAAGCGGUGGAGCAUGCGGUUUAAUUCGAUAAUACGCGAAAAACCUUACCAACUCUUGACAUGUAAGUUUUAGAUAAUAGAAAUAUUAUCUUUCAGUUCGGCUGGGCUUACACAGGUGUUGCAUGGCUGUCGUCAGCUCGUGUUUUGAAAUGUUGGGUUAAGUCCCGCAACGAGCGCAACCCUCAUCCUUAUUUGCCAUCAAGUUAUGUUGGGAACUAUAAGGAAACUGCCAGCCUUAAGCUGGAGGAAGGUGAGGACGAGGUCAAGUCAUCAUGGCCCUUAUGGGUUGGGCUACACGCGUGCUACAAUGGUGUUGACAAAGGGAAGCUAGCUAGCGAUAGUCAGCAAAUCCCCAAAAUACAUCUUAGUUCGGAUUGCACUCUGCAACUCGAGUGCAUGAAGUUGGAAUCGCUAGUAAUCG
rnacentral:rRNA from 1 species